UGUGACAGAGGCCCAGAACUCAGAGUUAUUUUACAACAAACAGUUGAACAGACGGUUGUCUCUAGAGGCUAUUUAUGUUGUACUAGAUGAAUUGAAGAGACGAGGUAAUCUGGAAUGGAAGGACAAGAGUAAAAAAUCCUGCACCC
rnacentral:sRNA from 1 species